rnacentral:lncRNA from 1 species
CGCACAUAUUAAGUCUUAGAUCACAUGAAUAGUUUCCAAGCAAAUAAAUCGUGAAAUUAGUGUAGCUGUUUGGGUGUUAUUACAAAAUAUUUGCUAUGACUUUUCUUUGGAUUCUAGGAGGUUCUUCGCAGCCAACUAAAUGGGCUGUAUUGCAACGGGAGUUGUCUUGCAGUCAGAGCUGAGGGCUAAAACGACCCAUUAUAUUCAGUGCUGGAUGGAUGCUAGCUUUAGCUGGGUUAAUUUGGGGGAAAACGAAGAAGCCCAGUUUAAAAGUGGCAGAGCGGUGCAGUGAAUGAGGAAUAUGCUAUGAAAGACUCCGAAGAAGAUUUGGGGCUUUGUUCGGGUUAUCCCGGGGCACUUCCAGCCACCUGGAGGAUUGAGAAGGAACCCCAGAGGAGACCUUUUUGAUUCCUAACUUCCUCAACCAGACUUGGUGUUGUACCUGGAAGUGUGGACGACAUGGCCAGUCCACAGGAGACGGAUCUGUGCUAUGCGUGGGAAAAGUACAUGGACUGUAGACUGCAAGGAGCCGAUCUCCAGGUCAGCCUUCAGAGCCUGGAGAAUUUCCUUUGUCUCUUCCACUACGUGCAGCACCACUGCAAACACAGCAGCAAAGAUGCACUGAAAUUCUGGUAAGGUCUCAUCACUCUGUCAGUGUCUUAACACCUCAUUAUAAGACAUUUGUGUCACUUUGCCAGGAUAAAACCUAUGCAUGAAAUGAGCUUUUGAAAAUCUGGUGCAACAGUGGAAUCAUAAAGACAUAUUUAUUAGCAUUAUUGUAGGCUAAUAACACAAUAACUAUAGUUGUGUCUCAAACUAUGUUGUCAAAAUCAAACAAUCAAGUUUAAGAAAAUAAACAAGGCCACAUGCAACUUAAUGUAUAUAUUCAAUUCAGUUCAGUUUUAUUAAUAUAGCGCCCAAUCACAACAGCGGUCACCACAAGGCGCUUUAUAUUUUAACGUAAAGGCCCUACAAUAAUACAAUGGAACCAGUGUGUUAUAGAUUGGAUGCAGUGCCUGCAAACAUGCAGGAACUGCAGUUAUUUUAGUCCUCUUUUUCUCUGUUUUGGCAAAAGAAUGGCAGAAAUGACACAUUUGUUUAUAUCCUUUUAUGUCCUGCCUCUAUAGUAGAGGUUUGAGGAAUUAUGUAAUCAUGGUGCAUUAGCGUUUGGAGUACCUUACUGCAUAGAUUUACAUACUGAUGAGGAAAAUUGUGGGACUUUAGGAACCUCGAGUACCUCUUGUUUGUAUUCUGUUGAGUGUGAGUAAGUCGGUCUCUCACACACACACACACACACGCAGUCUGCCUAGAAUUAAGUGGAUGCAUUAGCAUUUGCAAUCCACAUGUUCCUUCAGCUGAAAAAUCAUUGUUAAAAUACCUAAAAUAAUGUCCUUGUGUAAAGACGAGCUUGAGGCGUUUUGAUGUUUUGCUCUGUGAGAUCACUUACUGAACACUAAUUUGCUUAAUUAACAGAGCUUUUUUAUGUGAAAAUGAAGCAGUUGGCUAACAGAUGUUAGAAACAAGACCUCUUGCUACACUGCUUCUUACAUUGGACUAGGUUGUAGAUUUGCAAUUGUGUGAUGUUACUGUGGUUUAUUUUAAACCGGCAGAUGCUUACACUUUUAUAAGUAAUAUUGUUAGAGGAACAUGAUCACAGAGUAAAGUAAUACCUUUACUGCCUACAUGCUUACAUGUGAGCAAAGAGUUGUGCCAAACCUUAAAAAAAGCAUGUUUAUUUGAAGAGGCAACGUCCAGUAUACAUAUAGUUAUAGUUAAAAAACAAAAAAAUAUAAAAGGAAAAUACUUGGACUGCAUUUUGAAAUAAACUCCUUUUACUUGAAAUUGUUUAAACAAACGUGAGUAGAAGUGUUGUUUCUUUUUUUUUGUUGCAAAACUAGAACUGAGAGAGGAAUUGAAAAAUUCGACUGUAAGACUUAUACAAAGUUCUGAAAUGAUACAGGAAGAUUAGUGACCGUAGUACCGCUAAUCCUCCAAUCACAGUGACAAUGUCCACGGUCUAAAAGUGAAAAAGAGAUGUCACGGGAGUAUCGGUGAUGGUCUGGAUUUCUGUGACUCAGACAGUCCUAAGAUUACAGUGUCAGUCUGUACUGAUAAUGGCCAAGAAGUGAAAAAAAUAAAUCCUUAUUUGCUCUUUGGUACAAAAUUGUAAAUUUUACUAAAUGAAAUAAAAGAACUUGUAG